rnacentral:rRNA from 1 species
ACUCCUACGGGAGGCAGCAGUAGGGAAUCUUCGGCAAUGGGCGAAAGCCUGACCGAGCAACGCCGCGUGAGUGAGGAAGGCCUUCGGGUAGUAAAACUCUGUUGUUUGGGAAGAAGGGAAAGGGUAGGCCCCUUAGGUGACGGUACCAGACGAGAAAGCCCCGGCUAACUACGUGCCAGCAGCCGCGGUAAU